rnacentral:rRNA from 1 species
GCUUACGGCCACACCGCCUGGUUCACGCCUGAUCUCGGAAGCUAAGAUAGGUUGGGCCUGGUUAGUACUUGGAUGGGAGACCGCCUAAAAAUACCAGGUGCUGCAAGCU